GCUUGAGUUCCGGUCCGGUUUCCCGCGGAGUUCCCCGCUUGGCGCUUGCUUGCGCGUCUUGGAGUACUGGUCGGGUUUCACCCCCAUCAGUUGGCGCCGUCUGUGAUUCAAAGAUACUCACGACAAAAGCUCCUCGACUUUUUCGAAAAAAGUGAUCGACUUUUUUCCAAGUCGUCAGCUAGGGAGUCUUGCGAGGAAAUCAGCCAGCAAGGGAUC
rnacentral:lncRNA from 1 species